rnacentral:rRNA from 1 species
CCCGGUGUAGCGGUGAAAUGCGUAGAUAUCGGGAAGAACACCAGUGGCGAAGGCGNUCUGCUGGGCCAUCACUGACGCUCAUGGACGAAAGCCAGGGGAGCGAAAGGGAUUAGAUACCCCUGUAGUCCUGGCCGUAAACGAUGAACACUAGGUGUCGGGGGAAUCGACCCCCUCGGUGUCGUAGCCAACGCGUUAAGUGUUCCGCCUGGGGAGUACGCACGCAAGUGUGAAACUCAAAGGAAUUGACGGGGGCCCGCACAAGCGGUGGAGUAUGUGGUUUAAUUCGAUGCAACGCGAAGAACCUUACCAGGGUUUGACAUCCUGCGAAUCUCUUGGAAACAGGAGAGUGCCUUCGGGAACGCAGUGACAGGUGGUGCAUGGCUGUCGUCAGCUCGUGUCGUGAGAUGUUGGGUUAAGUCCCGCAACGAGCGCAACCCACGUCUUUAGUUGCCAGCAUUUAGUUGGGCACUCUAGAGAGACUGCCGGUGAUAAACCGGAGGAAGGUGUGGAUGACGUCAAGUCAUCAUGCCCCUUACAUCCUGGGCUACACACGUACUACAAUGCUACGGACAAAGGGCAGCAAGUUCGCGAGGACAAGCAAAUCCCAUAAACCGUGGCUCAGUUCAGAUCGUAGGCUGCAACUCGCCUACGUGAAGGCGGAAUCGCUAGUAAUCGCAGGUCAGCAUACUGCGGUGAAUACGUUCCCGGGCCUUGUACACACCGCCCGUCACACCAUGGAAGUUGGCCACGCCCGAAGCCGUUACUCCAACCCUUGUGGAGGAGGACGUCGAAGGUGGGGCUGAUGACUGGGGUGAAGUCGUAACAAGGUAACC